rnacentral:lncRNA from 1 species
UGGGCUAUCGUCAUUUCCACAAAAGGCGUCAAAGAUUGUGUGGACACAAAGUUGUGACAAGUCCUUGUAGCAUACACUUGUUUCAUUUAUUGAUGCAAUUGGUGAGCCUAGCAUCCCUGCAUCUUGAUGUGGUUGAGAUUCACAUAAGAAUGAUCCACUAACUACGAGAAAAGUAAUUAUCACAAUUAGGACACUAGGUUUUGGAUUCAUGGUAAGAUUUUUAAAUGUUAA